GAUGAACGCUAGCUACAGGCUUAACACAUGCAAGUCGAGGGGUAGCAGGGUAGCAAUACCGCUGACGACCGGCGCACGGGUGAGUAACACGUAUCCAACCUUCCCAUAACUCGGGGAUAGCCUUUCGAAAGAAAGAUUAAUACCCGAUAGUACUUUUUCAAGGCAUCUUGAGAAAGUUAAAGAUUUAUUGGUUAUGGAUGGGGAUGCGUUCCAUUAGAUAGUUGGUGAGGUAACGGCUCACCAAGUCUUCGAUGGAUAGGGGUUCUGAGAGGAAGGUCCCCCACAUUGGUACUGAGACACGGACCAAACUCCUACGGGAGGCAGCAGUGAGGAAUAUUGGUCAAUGGGCGAGAGCCUGAACCAGCCAAGUAGCGUGAAGGAUGAAGGUCCUAUGGAUUGUAAACUUCUUUUAUAGUAGAAUAAAGUGAUCCACGUGUGGAUUUUGUAUGUAUACUAUGAAUAAGGAUCGGCUAACUCCGUGCCAGCAGCCGCGGUAAUACGUAGCGUGC
rnacentral:rRNA from 1 species